GCACCCUCCUUCCUAACCUCACUCGAAUAACCAUGCUAACCACCAGCACACUACAACUCGCGAACACUUACUUACGCAAAGGUUUCGUCGCUCUUUUUCGAUUUUUUUAAUGUUGUAAAACUCGCCGAAAUUUAUUUUUUCUAUAAAAUCUUGCCCAUUUUUGCAGGGCUCGGCGGAACCACAGCGGCGCCGAUGAGCACAACAGUGCCGCAUGAUCGCACGGAAACUGGGUCGCCGGAAAACGAACGAAAGUUUAAG
rnacentral:sRNA from 1 species